AACGUAGGGGGCCAGCGUUGCUCGGAAUUACUGGGCGUAAAGCGUGCGCAGGCGGUUCUAUAAGACAGAUGUGAAAUCCCCGGGCUCAACCUGGGAACUGCAUUUGUGACUGUAGAGCUGGAGUACGGCAGAGGGGGAUGGAAUUCCGCGUGUAGCAGUGAAAUGCGUAGAUAUGCGGAGGAACACCGAUGGCGAAGGCAAUCCCCUGGGCCUGUACUGACGCUCAUGCACGAAAGCGUGGGGAGCAAACAGG
rnacentral:rRNA from 1 species